rnacentral:rRNA from 1 species
UAUAGUGGAGGUUAUCAGAGAUACAGGUGGUGCAUGGUUGUCGUCAGCUCGUGUCGUGAGAUGUUAGGUUAAGUCCUAAAACGAGCGCAACCCUUGUCAUUAGUUGCCAGCAUGUCAUGAUGGGCACUUUAAUGAGACUGCCAAUGAAAAAUUGGAGGAAGGUGAGGAUCACGUCAAAUCAUCAUGCCCCUUAUGAUCUGGGCUACAAACGUGAUACAAUGGCUGUUACAAAGAGUAGCUGAAACGCAAGUUUAUAGCCAAUCUCAUAAAAGCAGUCUCAGUUCGGAUUGAAGUCUGCAACUCGACUUCAUGAAGUUGGAAUCGCUAGUAAUCGCGAAUCAGCAUUUCGCGAAUUCAUUUU